UACGUAGGGUGCGAGCGUUAAUCGGAAUUACUGGGCGUAAAGCGUGCGCAGGCGGCGCGUUAAGACAGGUGUGAAAUCCCCGGGCUUAACCUGGGAACUGCGCUUGUAACUGGCAAGCUUGAGUGUGGCAGAGGGGGGUGGAAUUCCACGUGUAGCAGUGAAAUGCGUAGAGAUGUGGAGGAACACCGAUGGCGAAGGCAGCCCCCUGGGCUAACACUGACGCUCAUGCACGAAAGCGUGGGGAGCAAACAGG
rnacentral:rRNA from 1 species